UACGUAGGGACCGAGCGUUGUCCGGAAUCACUGGGCGUAAAGGGCGCGUAGGCGGACUUUUAAGUCGGAGGUGAAAGCCCAGGGCUCAACCCUGGAAUUGCCUUCGAUACUGGGAGUCUUGAGUUCGGAAGAGGUUGGUGGAACUGCGAGUGUAGAGGUGAAAUUCGUAGAUAUUCGCAAGAACACCAGUGGCGAAGGCGGCCAACUGGUCCGAUACUGACGCUGAGGCG
rnacentral:rRNA from 1 species